UCACUUUUUUAGAAUGGUCAUAUGAUAUAUUGAUAAUCAAGGGUAAAAUAAAUAAAAAAAGAACGUGACAACAAACACAAUGAGCGAUAGACCAGCAAAACAAAAAUAGACGGAUAAUAGAGACUAAAAAUGAAAAGAGAAUGAACUACUACAAUCAACCAUCAACAACAAAAACCAACAUAAGGAAAAGAAAGCCCAUCAAACACUCACAUUGCAAACCAACAACCAACAGAGAUCAAACGAGAACUCAGACACCAAAUCCACCAACCAUAAACCAAAACCUCAAGGAAACACGAACUAACCACUAAGCACCAAGGGGUUGCAAAGGAAUCUCGAUAUGCUAUCGGUCCAUACACAUGAUAGAGUUUUGAAGGCAAUUAGAGAAUAAGAGAAAGUUCAAAGAGGAUCGGUUAAGGAACCAACUCCAGACUAAAAAAAUACUCUUAUCCUCCACCUCUUUCACAUUUGUUGACGUACAAUUAAAAAACUUAUCAUUUCAAACAUACUAGAUAAUCCACACCACCACAUGGAAAAUCAUAAUAAAUCUACUAAGCUUAGCCUUAAGGCCUAAAAAUAAAUAAAAAAAUUCAAAAACUAAUCUAAGAUCCCUAAGGAUAACCAAUUGUACCCCGAACCACCUACAACCAUAUACUAGACACUGGAAACCAAACUACAAGUCACAAACAAAUGAGAUGUCGUAUCAACUUGAUUCCCACAAAGAGCAUACAUGGUCCCCUCUAGAUAAAUAAUGAUAUUCUACUUGAAUAGAUAUUCCUUUGGUAGAAACCUAUCUCAUAGAAGUUGCCAAG
rnacentral:lncRNA from 1 species